rnacentral:lncRNA from 1 species
UCACUAUUACGGAGGCAUUUACUGAUACACACAUAAUUUGAUCCACCUAUGCACUGGUCUCUCUCCUCACUUCUCUGCCCUCAAUUCACAAGCUCAAGUUAAUUUCUCUUAAUCCAAAGGAAUUGAAAUGCAAACUGAUCAUAUCUCACCAUCUGUGUUUAAAUAACUCAUUGCAAGCAUUUUUUUUUGUCUGUACAUAUACGUACAUAUAAUGCCUAUAUAAUAAUGAUAUGAUUGUUCCUACUAUGAAACUCAUUCCUGCUGGCAUUCUUCGCAUGGACUUGGGUGGGCAUGAGAUUCUUCUCUUCUAAAUCCAAAUCUCUCAUUACCGUCGACGUGCUUAACCUGCUAAACAGUACAAAUUUGGGUUCAGAUCACGCUACCUUCGACAAGCAGUGGCUGAUGCCCUUGGCCUUGGAAUUGGAACACCGAUCCCGUUCCUGUGCACAUACAGAAUCCUACCCCUGUACUCAUUGGCCACACUGGCAGGCGGACACAUUGUUCACAGAUUCAUUAAAAAUUUGGCGUAUUUUUGAACAUUUACUUACCCUCACACGGAUGGUUGGAUUCGUUUGUAUUAAGAUGGGAUCGUCAAUGAAGGAGACAAUAUUUGCAGUGUGUGUCGUUUUGGCCUUGAGGAAAUGGCGAAGAGUAACAAGGAGAAACCUAACAAGAAGGAACUCCAGUCCAGCAUUUACGCCUGCAAAUUCACCAGCUCAUCCGGAGAUAUCUAGAGCAACUUCACCAUCCCAAUCAGACAUAUCCAUCACCGCUGAGGAUGGAGUACCAUGGAACAUAGGCCAACUGGGGAUAGAAUUAGUGACCGAAGAUACAACCCAGCCAGGUACCAGUAACACACCAACAUACGACAGAAAGUAUCUUUAGCAGGGUGAAGCAGGCAGAGCAACAGAUUCUUAUCGGGCAGCCAAAAUCAGAGAGAACUUGCUCGAGGAUGCUUCAUUUGAACAAUAUCAAUGAUAGGUAAUAUGAAAUAACAAGCUACC